rnacentral:lncRNA from 1 species
CAUUAAUUUGUAAUCAAAGAAGAAAAUUUCAACAAGUGCUUCCCAUAUGGAUAUUGGAUCUAACGAGAAAUUCUUAUUUUUUUAGGUUGCGUUGCCUAACUUGGAGGCUUUGGAGAUAUCUGCAAUUAAUGUCGACAAGAUUUGGCACUACAAUCAAAUUCUGGCCGCCGUGUUUACUCACUUUCAAAGUUUAACACGAUUAGUUGUGUGGUACUGUGACAAACUGAAAUACAUAUUUUCAGCGUCUAUGAUCGGAAGCCUUAAGCAGCUCCAACACCUAGAUAUAUGAGACUGUAAGGAUUUACAGGAGAUCGUUUUGAAAACAGAGCAGAUGAAGUGAUCCCUUAUUUUGUCUUUCCACAACUCACCGUUCUGAUACUCCAAGGUCUACCAAAACUUAGAUGUUUAUACCCAGGAAUGCAUACUUCGGAAUAGCCAGCACUAGAAAAUUUUGCAGUGUGUCGUUGUGACAAAUUAAAGAUAUUUGUUGCAGAUUUAUCGCAGAAUAAAGAGAAUAAUCAACUUGAUAUUCCUGCACAACAGCCCUUAUUGCCGUUCGAAAAGGUAUGAAGUCAUUUUCUAGAUAUUUUUUUCAAUAGCUCAUUGACGACUUUUGACUUUGAAAAAUGUAACAAAACACUGAUAAAUUAAUACUUAAUAAAUUGAAAAUUUUUAUUACAUAAUAAUUUUUGCUAGUCUUGACUAAGGGAUCAAUGUGGGAGAUUAAUAAUUAUAUGAACUUUUUUAGGUAAAGAAUCCUUAGUUUUUCUUUAUACAAGGACUUACUAUAUAAAUUAAUAAUUUAUUGUUGUGAAAUAAAAUAUUUUCAUGCAAAUAUAAAUCAACCCUUUUUCCCUAAUUUCUUUUUUACCUCUAAAAUUAACAUAUAAAAAAAUCAUAUAAUGAAUUUUAUCACUAAUUCAAUUUUUUUUGGGGGUAAAAUUAAUAUAAAACAGAUACUAUAAAGUCACUGCUUGUAAUUGGAUUACUCAAAAUCAUUUGAGAGAACAUCAAUUGACCUCAUUAGUUAUUAUGAUUUACGAUGAGCAGAUCUUUCCCAACUUGAAGGACCUAUCAUUGAAUGGAAAAGACGUGAAGAUGAUUUUGCAGGCCGAUUUCCCACAACACCUUUUUGGCAGUCUUAAACAACUAGAGAUUGCCGAAGAUAACUCAGCUUGUUUUCCAAUCUGGAAUGUACUUGAGAGAUUUCACAAUCUUGAAAUACUCUCACUGUUUCAAUUUUCAUUCCACAAAGAGGUAUUUUCGGAGGAAGGAAGCUUAGAGAAACAUGCGGGGAAGUUGGCAAUGAUAAAAACAUUAGAGCUGCGCUGGCACUAUCAUCUGAAGCAGCUGUGCAAACAAGACUCCAAACUUGGCCCCAUUUUUCAGUAUCUUGAAAUUCUAAAAGUAUAUCAUUGUCAAAGUCUGUUAAUUUUAUUGCCAUCAUCAUCGGUAUCUUUUCAGAACCUAACAGCUCUGGUGGCUUUCGGUUGCAAGAAAUUGUUACACAUGGUAACAUCCUCCACAGCAAAAACUCUGGUGCGACUCGUAGCAAUAGAAAUAUAUGGAUGCAGAGCAAUGACAGAGGUGGUAAUAAAUGACAAAGAUGGAGUUGAAAAAGAAGAGAUUGUUUUUAACAAAUUGAAGACGUUGGAACUGUUUGAUUUAGAUAGCCUCACAAGUUUCUGCUCUGCCAAUUACACCUUCAAAUUGCCAUAUUUGCAAGAUUUGUGGGUGAUUGGUUGUCCCAAGAUGAAGAUUUUCACUACAGGAGAAUCAAUCACGCCUCCAAGAGUAAAUGUCUGGUAUGGAGAGACAGCGGAUCAACGGCGCUGGGCUAAUAAUGAUCUAAACACAACCAUACAACAAUUACAUGCUGAGAAGGUACGUAUAUACAUAUUACUCUCUAUCUCCCAUGAUAAAUUUUUACAAAAUUUGCUUUCUUAAAUACAAUAUAGAUAAGAUAUUUGUUAUAAAGUAAGUUUAAAUUGAUGAAUAAGAAUUUUACUUUCAGCUGUUGGCGGUGUCGUCGUCAUACUCUACGCAGUACGACUAAUUUCAUAGUCUUCUUAUGACUUGGAGUUGCAAACUUUUAGAAGAAAGUCUCAACUGGUAAUUAAUUUUUAUUUCAUUUAUUUAAUCCCAUGGCUUGUUUCGCAAUUUCAUCUGAAUUAUUUAGAAUGGGUCCCUCGGUUUACUGUUAAAUUUGCAAUGCAAUUUUAAUGAUCCUUUCAGACUUUUAUGGACAGAUUUUGCAAAAUUGAAUGUCUUUUAGUCUAGUUUAAUUUGAGUUUUUCAUUAUUUUUUUUUGAGAGCUCCACUUGUUUUCUAAAAUUUUAUAAUUCCUUGCAUACUUUUUAUGAUAAAAUUUCAUCAAAAGCCUUCAUAUUUUAUAAUUCCUUGAAAACGUGCAUACUUUUUCCUUUUUUCUUUGCCAAUUAUUUAUUGUCAUCAUUGCUGUUCUUUUAUUUUAGUUUGUGCUCUGUUUGUUCAUUGGGUUUGCUUUUCGGAAAGUUAGAAGGCAAGGAAAGUACUUAGAAAAUGUUCUUCCCUAUGAACACACACUACAAGAAAAAGGAUCUACUAUGACAGGUAAAACUGUCAUAGUAGGGGGUGCAUGACAGUUGUUCAUACCAUCAUUGUAGUCAGCGUCAAGAAUUGAUGACAGAACAAUACCCGUCAUAGCUUGUGAUGGAUAUAACCAGUCACACAACUAUCAUAAGUUUAUUUAGAGAGAAAUAUAAUAAUUUUGAAUUUGACCUUUUUUUUUAAUUUCGCAUGCUAUAUUUUGAAUUUUUAGCAAGAAAUCUUAAAUUUGGCGCGAAAAUGAAAAUUAUAACUAAUUGAAUUUUUUUUACAAUUAAUUCUGAAAUUAAAUUUAUAAUUAAUAAAAAUGACUAUUUUGUUACUACCAUGAAAUGCUUAUCAUUUUAAUAAAAAUCUUGCAAUUGAUUUAGAAAUUAAAAUUUCAUAAUUUAGUUAAUUAAUUAGAUUGUUAAAAUGAAUAUUGCAAUUAAAAAUUCAGUAACAAAGAAAAUGAAAUGAAUAACACUGAAUAAUUAUUGAUAAUUGUCAACAAACAUAAUUUAACUAAAUACAAGUGACAAGUCCAACAUAAAUAGAAGUAAAAACCAAAUUUCAGCAACAUGUAGAAAACUAGCUGUUUUGAGACUAAUGAACCAUGAUCAGUUCGUUUCCAGCAACACAACAAAGCCAACAACACUGAUCAGACCGGAAAAAAAAAAUUAAUUCUAGCAGUUUUAGUGAAGCAUACAGCAAAUACCAAUCUAAGAAGAAGCUAAAAACGUGCAAAGAUGCACCAAUAGUCAUGACCUAUUUUUGCAUCAAAGAAAAAAGAUGGCCAACUCCAGCAAUAUCCACCAUCUUCAUCAAAUUCCCACAUAGCAAGUGUAACAAGCUAGGUAACUGCACAAGUAAAUAUAACAUCAUCAAAACAUGGUGGGGAAAAUGAUCUUAAAACAUCUCCCUUGCAAUUACCACAGACUUUUUUGAAAGCUCACUGAUGUGAUGCGACGGAGCUUCUUUUAUGAUAUGCACAGCUUUUUGGUAACAUGCAGCUAGCCGCUCUAAUUGCAUGCAUGUGUGCUACACUAACUAUUGAAUCCAAGUAAUGCAUAGUAGAGGUUGUCAUAUCAAUUAUAAGAAUUCCAUAAGGUCUAAACAAAAGUGUAAGUAUAUAAGGCUGCAUUAAGAAGAAUUGAGUGAAGCACUUGGCAUUCGGCAACAUUCAGCAAUAGAAAAUGUAUCGCAAAUGUGGUCUUUUUCUAGCAGCAAAAUCCAGCAGCCCCUAAGCCAAGUAAAAUGUACCCCAUUUCAUCAAUCGAAAAUAUCCAGAAAAAUAAGUAUUUACACAUGAAAUUAAUUGAAUAUGAAAAUAUUCAAUGAAGAACAAGGCCAGACACAUUUUUUCCCUUCUCUAAAGUAAGGCAUUAAAAAGGAUUGAAGAAAUUUAUGCAACAAAAUAAAUAAAAAUAUAAAUUAUAUAGUACUAUUAGUUGUGUAUAACACCUACCACAUAGACAAAGCAUCCACAGUAAUCUUUGCGUAAUGCAGUUUCCUGUCAAUAAGUAAUGAUAUAUAAAUAAAAUUAAAAUCAAUAGCUAUGUAAUUCUUAGGCCAAAUCAAAUUUAUAUGUACUUAAGUUCAUGAUUCUUUAAGUUUUGUUCUCUUUAGCAUGCCUUCCUACUGGUAAUCAUCUCAUGCCUUAAUUAAUGUUUAAUACUGUUUUGAAUUAGAAUAUACCAAGAAUUUGAGUGAAUGCUAGAAUUAUAACUCUUUAAGAUUAAUGCAUUGCAUGCUCAGCCUCAGCAAACUUAUCAAUCAAUGUUUGCAUACCCAAAAAAGAGACUAAAAAGAAAAACAGAGACUAAAAAGAAAAACAGGAAUCAAAGAACAACUAAUAUAAGCAAUUCCUAACUUGAAAAGCUUGAUAUCACAUUUCAGAAUAAAAAUAAACAUAACAAAGUUUCCUUACCCAAAUUUACAUGAACAUCAUCAUCAACUUUGAUGCCACGGGAUAGGGAUUCCCUCACUUCCCUCAAGCCCCCUCACCUACAAAAUUCUGCACCCCCCUUGGAAAAAUCUGUAGCAAAAAUAAGUUUUUGUCUUGGCUGACAAUUCCAAGUAUCCGUUUAUAUGUUCUGGUAUGUAUAGUCCCAACAAACAAAUGAGAAGAUUUAUCAGAAUUUUUUAAAUAUAUUUUAAGACUAACAGGAUUGUGAAUAAACACCAACAAGAGCAUCAAAGGAAAAAGAAAGAAACAUCACCAGCCUUAAGAAGUCUCCAUGCGUCUUUUCCUCUGCUUCAAUAGCUUUAUUAAGAAUUCCACCUGAUGUUGCACUAGUGAAAAAAUUAUAUUCAAUGAAUAAAUAAUUGGAAACUUCAAAGUCUGCAGUUAACUAAAUUACUAAUGACGAUUAAGAGAUUCACUCCGCAAAUUAUUCAAGAAACUUUUGCAGAUAAUAUUAAUUAGAUUUUGCAGCAAUUUUUCAAUAUUCUUUUAAUUCCCAUUGAAGGAUCAAGCAUUAUGAGCCAAAAUGCAAACACAGGGCAUUACUUGAGUAGCAACUUAAUCAAUUGUCACAAGUUGUACAAGACUUUUCAAUCCAAAAGAAGGCUGAAUUGUAGAAUAAAAUGUAAUCCUAUCAUUAAAAGCCCAAACGAACAUUAUUAACUAGAUUUAUAAAUUUCUUGAAUCCUAAAACGGAGAAGUUCAUUUGUAUAAAGCUAUCAGUUCCGGCCUCACUGUUCUACUCAUCCCCGUCUAACUCAAUUUAGCCGAUUAAUAAAGCAGCUCAAGAAAUGUUUCUAAAAUUUAAUAAAUGAGAAAAUUCUAUAAUGAAUUUUUGUAAUACUUAAACACAAGAUUACCCAGAAAUGUAAUAGAACCUUCAACAAACACAUGGAAUGCAAAACCCAUAUGUAAAAAAUAUAUCAUUAAUGCAAGAGUCGGAACAACAUCCUAUACUAUAUAUAAAUUUAUAAUCACAAAUCGAGUAAGAGAAACAAUCAAACAAAACAAUAAUGCAAAAAAAACUAAAAAUUGAAACCCACAAAAAAAAAUCAUACUUAGGGUUUAAAAGAGAUGAGAACUUUGAAGCUCGUGUCGAAGAUAGUUGAGAUAACGGCGAAGCUCACUAUCACUUGCUAGAAAUCGCUGAGAAAUAGGUAAAGCUUGCUUGCGAAUGAGUGUGGCUUUCAGGGAUUCUUGAUGGUUAGGGUUUCGGCUGUCGUCGACAGGUAAAGUUUUGGUUUCGAUUUAGGACUGAAUUUGAUUCCACUGGGGCAAAGAAAGACUGUGGCGGGUCAGCGGCGAGCCAACGACAGUAAGGGUUGUCAUUGUCAGUGAGAAGCGAGCUACAUUCGAGAGAGAAGUUUUAGAGUAAUGAGUGUGGCCUUAACACUUGGGGUAAAAAAGAGGUUGAAAUACUAAUAAAGGUAUGAAACAACGUUGUUUCACUUCUUUCUUGUUAUAUUUUUUUAUUAUUUAGAAUUUUUUAAAUUUCGGUCAAAUCUAAAGUCAAAAUAAAAUUCUAUCAUAAUUUCUUGAUAGAGAAAAUAUAAAUCAUUAGUUGGUCAUAAGUAUUUGACAACAGUAAAUUCUAUCAUAUAUUUAUCAUAAAUUUUUUAUAGAAAAAUUUAUGUCACAUGUAUGUCGUACUUAUAAGAUAUAAAGCCUUUUAGCCAAAAACUGUCACAUAAGUAACUGUCAUUAUAGGUCAUUUUUUUUGUAGUGACAUAAUUAACAGCUGAAUAUCAUUCAUUGGAUUAAAAAAAAUUAAAAAAAAAAGUAAUCAGCCCAUUAUUCCUAGAACAAAUCCUUAAACCAUCAAACGUUAGCUAUGAACAAGUAUAUUGGUCUAUAGCAUAUCCAUAAUAUUUUCUCUGUUGUUCCUGUUAAAAUUGUUCUAAUAAGGACCGCUUCUGCAUAUAUUGUUCAUUUUCUUAAUUACCUUCAUUAUUAUUUUCGUUUUCAAUCGAUCAAACUUCAGUUUCUUAGCAUUAAUCUAAUUAUGUACUUCAUCUUGAAAUCCUUAAUUUACUCAUCAAAAUGUGAACGCUUAGUGUAUCAUUUUUACACUAUAAGAAAUAGUUGUAUUACCGACCAGACAUUUCCACAAUAUACUAUUCAAAAUAAGUACUUUUUACAAAGGUAUUGUCAUUGACGAGCCGUUGGAUAAAUAUGAAAAGUAUCAUACCUUGGUGAUAAAGAAAAUUCGUUUGUCGGAAAUGGAAUGUCGAGCCCAAAAUUACUCUAAACUUGGUAAAGUUAGAUUUUGGCCCAAUUUGUUUGAAAGUUUUAUACAUAAAGCACUUUUUUUUUUAAUGUAAUUUGUGCAAUCUGAAGGGAGGUAUUGUAAAAUUAACAUAAAUAAAUGUAAUAUGCCAAUACCGUUUAAAACAAAAAAGAUAUCAUGAAAUUGAAAAAAAUAAAUAAUAAUAAUAAUAACAACAUUAAAAGAAAAAGGAAAUUACGGAGAAGAAGAAUCGCUUCUUGAUCUCAACUCUCAAUUUGAAUACUAUCUAUGAAUCUCACUUCUCAAUGGGGCGAAGAAGGAUCUGUCUCCAUUCUUCAUUCGCAUUUACUCAGUGGUAAUUAAUUCUUCACUCUCACUCGCCUUAUUUCCUCCAGAUUUCUUCAUUUUCCUACACUGUUCAUUUUUAAGGUUCCAUUGUAUUUCCAUUGAGUUUGCAACCGUUCAAUUGCUCGAUCCUUAUUAGUUUUUGGACUUCAAUGACCAUAGAAGAAAAUUAUCACAAACUCUUCCUUAUUUUGUCUUUGUUUUUGUAUUUGUUUAUGCAUGUUUCCUUUGCUGAUUUAUUUACUUAUUUCUUUCUCUGAUGUCCUAAUUUAUCCUAUGAUAUUUCAAUUGAUGUAUUACGUUCAUGUAAUGUUUAUGGAUGCUUGCUCUACUGUCCUAAUUUACAAUUAAAUUUUACUCCGUCCUUAGCUAUCGAUUCACAGUGGUGUUUCAUUAAUAUGUACUUGUCUUAUUUUAUAUUUCAUUAACUAUUAUUUCAACAAUUGCUGCAGGUGUCAAAUAAUGAAUUUGUAUGAGCUUCAGUCCGAGGUAAUUAUCAUUUUCAUUUCAUGUUAUUUGAUCUCUAGGUUUAUUUUAUCGUUUCAUCUAAAUUAUUUGGAAUGCAUCAGCUGGUUUAUUCUUAAUUUUGGAACGAAUUUGAUGCAGCGGAUGGUUGCAUAGGAUGAGUGGAGUAUCACUCUAGGGUAACAACUUGAGCUAUAAGUAUCUAUUUAGGGUGUAUAAUAUACAUUUGAAAGUUCGCGACGAGGGGAAUCUAAUCUAAUAAUGUAGCGCCGCAUUAGUCUCGUGGUUCGAUUGAAAAUUAUAUUUAUUUCAUAUUAUUUUACAAGUUUAAGAUCUAUUUUCUUAUUGUUUUCAGGAUUUUUAUCUUUUUUUUUCUAGAUAUAGAAUUUGAGUAACAUUUAUCUUAUUUCAGUUAGGAGAAUGUUAUUAUGUAGUAAUAUGUUAGGUUUACUUAUUUUGGUAAAUUUGUGAUAUUUAAGUUUAGUUUAAAAGAAGUCCAAAACCUUAAUUUUGUUAUUCAGACUUUCAUUAAUAAAAUAUAAAACUUUCUAAAAGAGAAAAUGCUCGUUUGGUACCUAUAUUUUAACUUUAAUGCUGGUUUAGUUUUUAUAUUUUAAAAAAUACCUCAAUAUACCUUGAUAUUAAAUACGUUACAUUUUUCCUUAAAUUUUAUUUACUUUUACAAUAAUAUCUUGGCAAUAAUAUUCUUAAAUUUAUUUAUUUAUUUAUAAAAAAGUUAAUUGGAAAAUUAAUCAAUAAAUAUCAAUAUGAAAUAACCAGUAUUUUUUGUACUUUUACAACAAUCUUGCUAAUAAUUCUUUAUAAAUAAAUUAAUAGCAGCCAUCUUAAAGUAAUGUUUAAUAUUCUUAAAGCAAUCUUACUAAUAAAUGCAUAAAAAAUUUAAUUUACGAAAUUAGUCCUAAAACUAAAAUAAUAACAUAAAAUUUUUAUUAAUAUUUAUUUUGUUUAAGGUUGGCUAGAUGAAUUACCAUUUUUUUCUUUUCAUUGAUAUUCCCAAAAAUAUUAUUCCAACACAGUAGGGGUGUCUUGAGGUUGAGGUACUUUUUAAAAUAUAAGAACUAAAUGCGCUCUUAAGUCAAAAUAUAGAGACUAAAUGAACAUUUAUUCCUUUUAAAAAGCUUGUGUUUCUCUAUCUUUUCAAUCUCAAUGUUUUUGUUUCCGUUUCAUCAUAAGUUCUAAUGUUUGGUUCUCAUCUUUAUGUGCAAAUUUUACAUCAUUGAAGGUCUUUUGAUCUGUGUUAAGAUCAUAAAAUUAUACUUGCAUUGGUCAGGUUAUACGAAAAUUGUACAAAAUAAUAUUCUUAUAUAACUGUUGUCCUCUGUUAUUACGGAAUCCCCAAGUUCUGAAGAAGGUCGAAAUCAGGUCUCUCUACUGUGAAGCCCCUGGAAUAAGAGCUACAAAUGUGUUACCGUUGAAAGCAUGGCAGAAAACUUAGUACUUAAUUCAGACUCUUUGUGGCUUCAAUAUUUUACUUAACAUGAAAAAUUCUUUCUAGCUUGCAUCAUUGUAAAGAUAAAUUGUCGUAGUUCUGACAAUGAACAAGUAUAAAUGUCGACAGAGAAAAGUACUGAACAAUUAAUGUUAACAGCAAUCGAUUGGUGUGAGCGCCAACCACCAUUUUCAUAUUUAAGCCUUUAGAACAGCAAAACAAAAUACGGCAAGUGGCAAACCACAUCAAAUAAUCAAAUUGUUGAUAGAUUUUGAAAGCUUUAAUUUGCUUGACAUAUAUUUGAAUAUUUCAACAGAUGCAUCUUUUCUCUACUCACGGGACACGUUGAGUUAGAAAUGGUUUGAAUGUCAAUAUUACUCCUAGUGCCUCGACCAAAUUCAGAAUGAAAAAAAUCAUCUGGUUACCUGCACUUUAGUUUGAGCAGCUAAUUAAGCUAAUUAGCACAAAGUAAUUCACCAACUCGUGAGAAAUUUCAUUAGUAAAUCAUCAUACCUGGGAGGAAACCAGCAUCUUGACGCUUUUGUGACCAAGAAAAUCUGCCAGGACCCGAUUAAUCAAGUUGUUACCCAACAAAUGAUCAAUUUAAUCAUGCUUUUUUUUUUUGGGGGGGGACAAUAAAAUUCAUAACAUCAUUUACAUAUAAUUUUACAAAAUCAAUAGGACACUUACAGAGCACCUCCUACAGCUGGACCGGCAGUUUUGGCAUAAACCAACAAAAUUUGAUGCUGUUCCUUUUGUUGUGGGAUAAACCAACAAAUUAAAUUUAAACUUUGACACAUACAAAAUUUGAAAAAGCUGAAAGCAUGUAAAUGUACUAAACAAACAAAAGAAAAAAAAUAUUUACCACUGCUCUGUUUUGCCGAAGGAAUAAUCCAGUUAUUAUAGACACCUGAUGUUACAAUUCAGGAAAAGUAAAAAAGAAUUACAACAAUUCUAAUAAAAAGACAUAAAAUAAUAUUAUACAUACUUGCUUAUGGAUAUGGAUCAAUGAUUAGGAUAUCCACUUACAGAUAAAACAUUCUUCAUUACAGAUUUAUCAAUAAGGCACGGCUGAACCCAGAGAACAUUGCUAUGGAAGUGUUAACUUGUCAAAAGAGGUAUCGAUAAAACCUGUACAUACAUAGAUAAUUACGUCACCAAAUCCAUGAAGAAAAUUAUUUUAUAAACAAAUAUGUUUGAAACAAACUAUCAAAUGGUCUAAAUGCCACAUGGUGUGUUCAAAAUUUUACCCCUGCAAUAAGCAGUUUUGUGGGGUUGAUGCAUGAGAAAACAAGUUAAGAGGAACGAGUAACAUUUUCAGUUUCGUAAUAAGUAUAAAUGGGGAGCAAGAGUAUCAGUUUUACACCUGAGAUGGCAAGAACUUGGCCGACAUUUUCAGUUGAGUCACUCAGACCUCCCGCACUUCCCCUGCCUGACAGCCCAAAGUGAAAAUAUCUAAAAGAACAGUUGCAACAUUUACCCAUUUGAUUAUGAUUCAAGAAAAACACAAAUGGAGAAAUUAUUGGAAUGGUUACUUAUUGUUUCAGUUUGUUAAGCAAGAUAGUUAGAGUUACUGAUGUGUUAGCUGGGCUGGCAUAAGUUAGUUAUUUUGUUAGCAGUUUGUUAGUGCACACUGCUCAACUCUCAGGUGCUUAGCUCAAGCAUAUGGAAUCUAAAAUGUUCAGGAACUUGUCUAAAUACAUUUUUAAUCAGCUAAAGAAUGUAUGAUUCAGAUUUAUUCAUCAAAUCCAGCUGUUAGAUGAUCUCUGUUCUUUCUUUCAUUUUCUCUCAUUUUCUUAAUUACCAAACAGAUUAGAAACUUUAACUUGAUAUCCGAGCCUGAGCUAUCAAUUCUCAUGGCUUCGUCAAGCUCAAAUCAGAAUACAAACUCCUAUGUUUCCUCGUUUACUUUCACUUCACCCAUCAAACUGGAUCGACCGAAUUAUAGGAUCUCGAAAUCACAGGUCUUGUCUUCAGUCCGUGCCAAUGGACUAGAAGAUCUACUUGAUAGAUCAAAACUCUGUCCUAACCAAUUUCUUUUUACUGAAAUUGAAGAUUCAACAGCUGAAGCACAGAUCAAUCCAGCAUUCACUUCGUGGAAGAGAAACGAUCAAUUGUUGUUGAGCUGGUUAAUGUCAUCCAUCAGUAUCGAGAUCCUUAGUCUUGUGGUAAACUCUCAAACCUUACUUGAGCUUUGGACUAAUCUGGAACAACAAUUUGGAUCUGAAACCUUUGCCAAGAAAAUUCAUUUGAAGAUGAUGCUUAAUAUUCUCAAAAAACGGCUCCUUGUCUGUGACUGAAUUUGGAGCGAACAAGGAACCUAUGAAAUGCUUUGAAUGUACCUCCUAGGCCGUAUUUACUAUACUAGUUAGGAGAAAUUAUGAUGUUAAAUUAUUUGAUAAAUACUUAAUAUAAUUUGAAAAUUAUGUUAAUUUUGUCCUUUACUAUAUAAUAAAAAAUUUAUAAUAUAUAUAAAUCAUUCAUUCUAUAAUCUUGAACUUUAUUAAAGUUCGAAAAACUAUUACUCUAUAUGGGACUCAUAUGAUAUAAUAGUGUGAUGUUAUUACACUAUUAUACCAUACAAAAUAUAUUUGCUUUCUAAACUUUUAAUAAAGUUUAGGUCUUGGAGAGAACCACUUUAUAUAUAUGUAUAUAUAAUGAUUCUCUAGUGAUGACAUCCUCAUUUUAACAAAGUGAUGAUAUCAUUAGCAAACUAAAUAACACAUAUUUCAAUACACCAAUAGAUAAAAAAAAUAUAGUUUUUAAUGUGUUAAAAUAUAUGUCUUUUGUUUAUUAUUGAUAUUUUCACUUUAACAAAGUGAGGGUCUCCGCACUACAGAAGUACUUUAUAAAUAUUUUUGUAUUUUCGUGAAAUUUUUUAAUUAAAAGUCAUAUCUUACCAAAGACUAAUAAUUUUUAUUUUAUCACUAUACUGUACUUUUCAAGACAGAACACCUCAAUACCGUGACUUUAUUUUUUUAACUCUACUAUACAAAGUUGUUGGUUGGUCUAUUUAGUUUAGUCUUUCAAUUAUUUGUCGUUUGAACUGAGAUGAUCCGAAUAAAGCUAUAUAUCAAUAAUUUCCUAGUGAAACUUCGGGAAAAAAAUAAAAAUCCUCUCAUACAGUGGCAUUAUUUUAAUUCUCAGCUUGAUUAUGUUUUGAGUUAACUUAUAGAUUAUUUGAAAUAAAAAGAAUAUAAUUUAUUUUUUCUAACUAAAUAUUUUUAAAUAAUUUUGUUAAUUUAAUGAGUAAUUAUACACUUACAAAGUUAUGAUAUAAAAUUAUAUCCCAGAAUACUGCUAUGUGUUUCUUAGUAAUUAACUUUUUAUACCAUUAUUAAUGAGAUAAUUAACUUCAACACCAAUAAACAAAUUUUAUAUUAAUACAUCCUCUAGCUUUAUUAUCAAAUAAUCAUAUGUCAUAAUCAAACCAAGCUACCAGAGCCUACCACUAAAAGAUUGAUUGAAGGGUUUUCCAAGUUUGAAAAUGUUAGUAGCAUUGGCAAAUGGCAACUUCCAGGAAUCUUCCUGCUGCAAUCAAUUAUUUAGUGAAAUGCCCAAAUGACACAAAGGACCCCGCCAACCGUGAAGUCACAUCAUUUAUUUAUUUGUAAAUGAAAAAUAAGGUUCCGGUCAGAAGAAAUCAAUACCUUAUAAUGCACGAUUACCCGUAUGUCAAGUUUGGCGAUUAUAAGUCAUCAUCAUAAUAACUUUAGACUUUAAUAUUUAAGUCUCUGUUUGGGACCAAUGUAUGGCAGUUGGACAACACAUCACUCAAUUAUAGAGUGUGAAAUAUUGAUAUUGUUCUUAUUUUUUAUGUAAUGUAUAAACUUUUCCUUUUAUUUUUGUUUGUUUAUUUAUUUUUUAUACUUAAUAAAUAUAAAUUUAUUUUUUUAAUAUUUAACAAAUAGUCACGACCAGACAAUAUUGUCAGAAAAUAACGAACGAUGACCCAAAUCCUUUUAUUUUACAGAAAUAAUUUCAAUUCACAACAACUAUGAUGUUACAUUACCAAAUAAACACUAAAUAUUUUGAUGAUUGUAGUUUAUCUUUCAUUCAUAGCAUGAAGAGUUUGAAAUAUGAUCUCAAAACAAAGAGUACCACAUGUCAUGUUCGGUUUACAGAAGAAGUGUACGCCAUGUCAUCCGAAAACUAAAAGGCACGUAUGACAACCAGACGCUGUCAUCUCUGAUUUGCUUACACUUUAAGGAUGAAUUCUGGGUUUUGAGUGACAAUUAAAAGCUAGAGUAAGAAUUAGAGAGAGAGUUAUUUAUUCUUAUUUAUUCCUAGUCACUUGCUAUAUUGUGUAGGUCUUUUGUGACUCCAAUAAUAAAAUGCUAAAUAUUUUUUUUGAUAGAGCAAUAUUUGUUAAAGCAUAAAGAAAGGCAGAAAUAUUGUUAAUUCAGAUUAUAAUUUUUUUAUAUGACUUAAUUAUUAUCUGACAAAUAAUUAAAAGGUCAUAUAGAACAACAUUUUUAGGUCAAUUGAUAAUUAUAAUAUGACACAACUUGUACUUUCAUUCCUAUGCUAAAAUAUAUCUAGCCUGCACAUGGUCAAGAAAUAUAUCUAUUCAACACAUAUUUGUUAGAAAAAUUAUCUACUAAUUAAUUAUUUGAGACGAGAUUACGAGUCCUAACAUAAAUUAGGAUAAAAAUUAAUAUAUUGAAAUUCAGAAAUUUUUUUUUUUUCCUUCUGCAGUUUAAAAAGGAGUCGCCCACCAGUAUUGAAAUAAUUUUAUCAGAUUCGCUUGAAAGUAGUUUUACGAGCAAGCAGUUUUUCCCUCUUGAUCCCCGUAUUCAUCAGCUCCUACUCUUUGCCUUCAAUUCCCAAUCAAGUAGUAUCAGUUUUUGUUGUCAGCUCUCUUGAAUUUCACUGGAUCAAGUUUUCUCUUGGCAUCUGUUUUGUUGUAAUCUCCAGUCUUUGUUAAUUAGUUUCUCUCCAUUCCCAAUCUUGUUGUGGCCUGCUGUACUCUCUGUUUGGUUCCAUAUCUACCCUUUGUACUUCUACCGUGUCAAGAUAUCUUCAUUUUUUCCAUCUCUAUUACCAGUCAAUAUUUUUUCCGUCUUUCUUCUGGUCAAUACUUCAGUUAUUCUGAUUGGUUCCCUUCGCCUCUAUUAUCUAAAUCAUUCCUUAUAUUAAUUCAAUCAGUUCUCGAACUAGAAACCUUUUCCUUGUUUCCAUCUUCUCACCAGAUCCAUAACAGCUUUUACUCUUUCUUUCAUUUCUCCGCUUCCACAACCGGAUAAACUGUCCAUCUUCGUUGUUUCGCUUUUUUUUUUUUUUUCACUCUCUCUAUGUUUCGCUCGUUGUUUAUUUUCUUGUCAGAACUUUGAAAAAAAAAAAAAAAAAAAGGGAUCCAGGAUGGUGGAAAGCAUUGUUACUGUUGUUUUAGAAUUUGUGAAAUGCUUGGCUCCUCCAACAGAACGCCGAUUUGGUUAUUUGCGUAACUAUAAAGCCAACGUUGAGAAUCUCAAGGCAGAAAUAGACAAGCUCAAGGAUGAAAGGAGAAGCAUUCAGCACAGGGUUUCUGAGGCUGAAAGAAAAGGGGAAAAGAUUGAAGAGAAGGUUGAGAAGUGGCUGGUUCGUGCGAACAACACCAUUGAGCAGUCAGCCAAAUUCAUUGACGAUGAGGAGACAAGAAAUAAACGAUGUCUCAUGGGCUUGUGUCCUAAUUUGAAGACCCGCUAUCAGCUUAGCAAGGAAGGAGAAACAAAGGUGAAGGCCAUUGUUGAACUCAAAGAAGAAUCUGGGAAAUUUGAUGAUAGAAUUUCCUUCCGUACCAUUCUGGAGGAUAUAUGGUUCAAGUCUCACAAAGGCUACGAGGCCUUCGAAUCAAGACUUUCUACUUUGAAGGCCAUACAAAAUGCAUUGAUCGAUGUUGAUGUCAGCAUCAUUGGGGUCUACGGCAUGGGCGGCAUUGGAAAGACGACACUGGUGAGGGAGUUUGCUAGGCGAGCCAUUGAAGACAAUCUUUAUGAUAUGGUGGCUUUUUCGGAGGUUACCCAAAGUCCAGACAUAAAAAAGAUCCAAGAGGAAAUUGCGGAAAAGUUAGGCCUACAGUUGUCCGAGGAAGCUGAGGCUAGAAGAGCUAGUACACUACAUGAAAGAUUGAAGAAUGAGAAUAAGAUCCUUGUGAUUCUGGAUAACAUCUGGAAACCUCUUGAUUUGGGGACGAUUGGAAUUCCUUUUGGAGUUGAGCACAGAGGAUGUAAAUUAUUAUUCACAACAAGAGAUCUUGAUGUGCUGUUAAGGAUGGGAUCUGAAAAAAACUUCUCGAUUGGCAUUUUAAAUGAACAAGAAGCCUGGAGAUUGUUCAAGAUAAUGGCAGGUGAUUAUGUGGAAAAUCGUGAGUUAGAAUCUACAGCAACAAGUGUAGCCAAGGCAUGCGGAGGUUUGCCUAUUGCCCUAACCACAGUAGCAAAGGCACUGAGAAAAAAAGAGCUGCCUGUGUGGAAGAAUGCCUUGCAAGAGCUCCAAACGCCUUCAGAGACGAGCUUCGACGAAGGAGUACCAGCAGAGGCAUACUCAACAAUUGAGCUGAGUUACAAGUACUUAAGAGGUGAGCAGCUCAAGAAAACUUUUUUACUGUGUAGUCUUAUUACGCCAGCACCAAUUAUGGACUUGUUCAAAUAUAGCAUGGGCUUGGGUGUAUUUAAAAGUGUCCAUAAGCUAGAAGAUGCACAUAACAAAUUAGAUGCAUGGGUCCAUCAACUAAGAGACUCUUGUUUGUUGCUUGAGGAUGGUGGCAGUAAAUACUUUUCUAUGCACGACGUUGUUCGCGAUGUUGCCAUUUCAAUUGCAUGUCGUGACAAAAUUGGAUUUGUGGUGAGAAAUGAGGAUGAUUGGAAAUGGCCAAAUGCAGAUGAAUUAAAAAAAUAUCUUGCAAUUUCUUUAAAAGAUAGUACUAUUAAUGACAUUCCUGAAGGGUCCGAAUCUCUACAACUUGAACUUCUAGUCAUGUCUCCCAAGAACUCUUUUGCUGUGCCUAAUAUUCCUGAGAACUUCUUCAAAAGGACGAAAAAGCUUCGGGUUUUGGAUUUGACUAGAAUGCGGUUAUUGUCAUUGCCAUCUUCAAUUGGUCUUCUAGUAAAUCUUCAGACACUUUGUCUUGAUCAAAGCAUUUUGGGAGGCAUAGACAUAGCCAUUAUUGGAAAGUUGGAAAAUCUGGAAAUCCUUAGCUUUUUGCGAUCUGAUAUUGUAGAGUUGCCUAAAUCACUAGGUCAACUGACUAAGCUAAGGCUGUUAGAUUUAACAGACUGUUUCCAUCUAAAAGUUAUUGCUCCAAAUGUCAUAUCAAGCUUAAUCCGAUUAGAAGAAUUUUAUAUGUAUAAUUGCUCCAUUGAAUGGGAGGUUGAAAGUGCCAACAGCAAAAGAAGUAAUGCUAGCCUUGACGAAUUGAAGCAUUUACGUCGGCUAACCACUCUAGAAAUUGAUGUUAAAAAUGAGAGUAUGUUACCAGAAAGCUUUUUGGCCAGAGAGCUCGAAAGGUUCAAAAUAUCUAUUGGAAAUGGGUCAUUCAUGCAUCCCAUGCUUUUUGGACAAUAUUGGUUUAAAAGUCGGCCGCACUUUUUGAUCGACAGUAAUCGCAAGAUUUCAAGAACAUUGAAGCUCAAGCUUGAUUUUAUGGACAUUCGCUCCAUGAAAUUGCAGGGCAUCAAUAACGUUGAAUACUUAUUGUUGGACAAGCUACGAGGUAUCGAGAAUGUUCUUUUCAAUUUGGACACGGAGGGCUUUUCACAAUUGAAGCUUCUCUGGGUUCAAAAUAAUCCAGGCUUCUUUUGCAUCGUCGAUUCAAGGGAGAUGGUCGCUUGUGAUGCCUUUCCUCUUUUGGAGUCACUUGCCCUUCACAAUUUGAUCAACAUGGAGAGGAUAUGUAUUGAUCCGCUCAAAGUAGAGUCUUUCAACAAACUCAAAACCAUAGAAGCAUAUAAUUGUGAUAAAUUGAGUAAUAUCUUUUGGCUCUCUACAACAAAAUGUCUUCCAAGACUUGAGAGAAUUGCAGUUAUUAAUUGCAGCAAGAUGAAAGAGAUUUUUGUAAUUGGGGAAGAAGUUGAUAAUGCAAUUGAGAAGAUAGAGUUUGCUCAAUUAAGAUCUUUGAGUCUGGGGAAUCUUCCAGAGGUUACAAGUUUUUGCCGUGAAGUAAAGACUCCUUCAGCAUCACCAAACAGACCAGCGAAAUCACUUUGGAUACUUCAACUCUGCUUUUCAACGAGAAGGUGCGUAGGCUAACAUUUUAUUUAUAUAUAUAUAUAUAUAUAACAGACUUUAUUCUAUCAUGCGUUCUGUUUUGAUGUCAUACGUGGAAAAUGUUGGGAAAAUAUGCUCUUUAAAAGCAUAUGUGUUUAUUUAAUUGUAAUAAACAAUUUUUCUGAUUAAUAAAAUAAAUGAGGUAUUUUAUUCAAAUAUCUUAAUUGCAUUAAUAUUUGUAUUAAAGUCCAUUUAAUCAUAUUAUAUGUAUUUAUGUGAUCACCAUGUGGAUUCACAGAAGACAUAAAUACAAGUUAUCUUAUGAUUAAAUAAAUUUAGUUCGCAGUUGAUAAAUAAAGUUGGGCACUUUAUUUAGGUAUAGACUGUAAUAAAUUCAUUGAAUGAUUUGUCUUAAUCAUGUAUGAAUUUAUUGAUGUAGUACGACUACAUUGAACAGGAUCACAUAUGAGAUUUAAUUAACUUUGUAAUAACUGUCAGACUUAUUAAAUCUCAUAGGCGUUGAUUUUACUGUAAUCUUAAUCUUGAGUUAAUUAUGAUUUCAUGAUUGUGAUUGUUAUUUCAUUUGAGUUACCAAUGGGCACGACACAUCCUUGUGGUCAAGAUUACCCGGUAUCUUGGUGGGAGCAAUUAUGAGUAUUGGAGUUAUGGAUUAACAAUAUAGAAUUUGUACAACACAUCUCUUGAUAGGUUUUCGGUACUUGAUCAUAGAAUUCUCUGGCCAGAGUGUGUCAACAUAUUUAGUAUGUUGAAAAUGAUCAUUAGAGAAAACCAGUAAGGAUCAAGGAAUAAGAUGUUAUUAAAUUGAUUGGACAGUUGAGAUAUCAAUUUAAUUAACGAUGUGGUACAAAGGAUUGUGCAGUAAAGAAAUCAAUGUGGCUUGGGACGAAUUAUUAUUCGAGCAUACAAUUAUGGAAGUCAGUUCCAAUCUUUUAGUGGAGUAGAUUUGGAAUUAAAUAAUUGGGCUAGUUUAAUUACAGGCCUAAUUAUUGUAGCCACUAUUGUAUGUUCCCAAAUGAUCCCCGGGUUAGCUCAUUUAAUUGAUUGCACCACUGCUGGACUAAUAAGCAAGAUAACUAGCUAUUUGGGUCAAAAGCCUAAAUAUAUCAUUUAGUGGGAGGCUCCAUUUAAUAAGCUUAUGUGUAAGGGGCCUUAUGUUAUUUUACAUGGUGGGUCCCCUAUUAAAUGAAAAGUAACGUGAGUUUUAUUUUGGGGGAAUCCUUGGAGCCUAGGGUUUUCACUAAAGGGAGAUAUAUAAGGCUUAUUUUCCCAAAAAGGAAAAAGCAGAAGCCACUUUAUACAAAUCAGAGAAUAAGAUUUUUCUCUCCAUUGUUGAGAGAAAAAUUUUCUCGUGCUAGUUGCUUUGGUAGUGAUAAAGGCGCCCACACGUCAAGUGCAGAUCGAACCUGAGUCAUAACCUGGAAGAUCAUUGGAGACAGUUCGUGAUCUAACAAGCGUGGUGGUGACGGAUCGUGAUCUAACAGGAGUGGUGGUGGCGGAUCGUGAUCUAGGAGCCUAAAUCACUUCAGCGGAAAAAGCAAACUCAGAUUUACAAGGUACGAUUUCUAGAAUACGAAUUCUUAUAUAUAUAACAAUUGGUAUCAGAGCCAUCUCAUAUUAAUAUAUAAGAAUUUCGUAUGAAAUUAAUCUUGAAAUUUAUGUAUUAGAGUGGCACAAUUUAUUCAGAUGUAUAUUAUUUAUUUAAUAUAUGAAUAAAGCAUGCUUAUGGUUUGUCUUAAUUCAUGGUUAGAUUUUCUUUUGUAUUGUUCUUUGGAUCUGUAACAAGAGGGGUGGUUUUUUAUCACCAUGUUUCCCUCUUGAUUUAUUUUACAGUUAUAGAAUUUUUGUAAGCCAAAAUUGGUCUAGGAAAUUUGUAAAUUAAUCUCAGAUUUUCAAGAUCGGAGCGACGGAGGCCGGAAAUUAUGACAGCGGCAGCAAACCAGGGCAUGCUGCAGCAGCGUGCGCGGCCAGCAAUGGCCAGCAUCGCGCGCUGCGCUGUGCGCAGCAAAGCAGCGCGCGCGGCCAACAUUGGCCAGCGGCGCGCGCUGCGCUGUGCGCAGCAAGCAGCGCGCGCGGCCAGCGUGGCCAGCAGCGCGCGCUGCAUGUGCUGCAGCUGGAAGCAACGCUGCCGAGGCCAGCAGAAAGUUGCGCGCGGGUUUUGGCACGUUUUCCGGCCAGGCGGCAGCAGUUGGUUUGGCGUCGGCGUCGGCGUCGGAGGUCGGCUGGCGUCUGAACAGUGAAGGAGGAUUUUGGAGAUGGCGGCUGGGGAAGAAGAAAGAAAGAAAAAUAUGGAUUUAGGGUUUCAUGGCUUUUAUCAUGGAGGUCCCUAUGGUUCCAUAAUUUUUCACUUGGGCAGUCAAGUUUUAAUUUUUUGCAUUUAAGUCUAAAAAUAGUUUUGGGCUUAAAGAAUCCUAGUUUUAGGCCCAAUUGAUAUUUGGGCUUAAUGGAUUAAAAAUGCAUAGACAAAAUUAAAUACAUUAAAUUUAUUUUUGGUCCAAAAGUUUUAUUUUAAUAAAAAAAAAAUAAAAUAAAAAUAAAAUAAUUUAUUUAUUUAUUUCCUUUCAAAAUUAAAAUUGGACCAAUUAUAAAUUUAAAAGCUCAAUUUCCCCUAGUCCAUUAACAAAAACAAGCUUAUGGAAGAUGGACAUUGACAAGAAGCCCAAUGAAGAUUAGGCUUAGGGUUAAUGUAUUUUUCAUUAUUAGGAAAGCCAUGAAUUAAGAUUAUUUAAUAGUUUUUCUAUAUGUUAUGUUUUGGAUGAUAACAUGCCAUGAUAACAUGUCAUAUAGAAUAGGUAGUGCCACUCUAUGCAUAAUGAUACAUGUCAUUCAUUAAUAAUGAAUUUCAUUAUAUUGUUUGAAAUUUGUAUAUGCUUAAUAAUAUUUGAUAUCAUCUAGAUAAUAUUAUAUGAAGCAUGCAAUUAACAAUAUGUAUGUUUUAAAAAGGAAAAACCAAUUUUAAAAUAUUGAGUGGGAGAGGGAAAAUUCAAGAUAAUUUUCCCACGGGCUCCAUUGUUAGUUCAAUAAUAAAAUUAUAUAUAUACCUCGACUUCAUGAUACGGUGAUGCUCCCUUCGGAGGGUAUAUAUAUUAGAUAUUUUAUUUGAUGAACUUCUUCAAAGAUAAAAUUGAAAUAUUUUUCAAUCGAUUGUUCACCCCAACGGUGACUAUUGAUAUGAAAAAUACGUAGAUUGAAACAAUGGUUAUACACUCAACUAAAGUUUGUUAUUAACCUUCCCAACGAAGCUCUGUUAACAAAUUUAGGUCCAAAGGGAUAACGAUAAUUAUUUAUCAUGUCUCUACAUGAAAGUAAAUAAUCCAAUGGAUAAUUGGGUCUAGUAAGUGUAGACAUGACUUCCCCAACGGAUAGCUUGUCAAAGCGGUACUAGAUUAUCGUUACAAUAAAUUAAAAUGCAUUUAUGGUUUUUUGCAUUUUUGUCAUUUAUUGUGAAUAUUGUUUCAAAGUAUUUAUGCAUGUGUAUUUUGUUUUUUCAGAAAAUGUCUUCCAUCAACCCAUUAUUAUUUAUCCUUGUUAAAAAUGAACUCACUGGCGAAAAUUAUUUAGAUUGGAAACGCAAUCUAUUUAAUAUUCUCACUGCUAAGGGAAGCAAAUAUGUGUUGACCCAGCCUUGCCCUCCUGAACCAUCGUUAUACGAUUAUAGAAAUCAGAGGGAGCCUUAUGAGAAAUGGUGCGAAGCUAACAAAAUGGCUAAGCGCUAUAUAUUGGCUUCGAUUUCUGUGGAACUGCAUAAGAAACAUCGGAGCAUGGAAACAGCUACUGAAAUAAUGGCUAGUCUUCAUCAGAUGUUUGGGCAAAAUACCCAUUUUGCCAGAGAAGCAGCAUUAAAACGUAUUACGGAUACUCAGAUGGAAGAGGGCACAAAAGUUCGUGAUCAUGUCCUCAAAAUGAUGGACUAUUUGAAUGAGGUAGAGAUUCAUGGUGUUCAAAUCAAUGAUAAAUCAAAGAUUAACAUGGUGAUUGAAUCUUUACCUGAUACAUUCAAAGAGUUUAAGGUCAGCUAUAUCUUAAACAAUAAAGAUAUGACCUUAAUUGAAUUAAUGCACGAACUACAUGCUAUAGAAGAAUUUUAUCAUAGCAGAAAACUUCCUGAAAAAGGAUUCUCUUCAAGGCUUAAGUCAAAAGACAAGAAUGAGCAAGCAAGAGUUGGGAUCGGCAAACUGUCCAUUAAAAGAAGUGGCAAGCCAAAAGGCAAGUGUUACAAAUGUGGACAGAAGGGUCACUGGAAGAAAGAUUGUCCUAAGAUUAUUAAAAUCAGGUAUAGGAAAUCUUUAAGCUUCCUAAUUAGUUUAGAUUUCUAUUGAUUCAUACAAUAAUGAAUUCUGAGAUAACUAAUCUUAUUUGUAAUUCAUUUAUUUGGUUUUCAGGAAACCAAGAGAUUAAGUGAAGAAAGCUUCAAAUAGCAGUUGAGGAUGUGCUAGUUUAUAUCAAUUGAAAGACUAGAUCAAUUUUACAAGACUUUAGUUUUGAUAUUUGUCUUUAUUUUUCCAAAUAUUAGAGGAAUUUAAUUUCAGUGGCUUGUUUUAAUAAACAGGAGUACACUGUUAUUUUUGGAUCCUCUGUUUAUUACUUAUUUUGGUUAUUUAUAAAGAUAAUUUAUAUCAUAAAAGUACAUUGAUCUAUUCAAAGUAAGAUAUAAUGAUUAAAAGUAUAUGCAUUUAUCUAAGAAAAGAAAUGUUUCUUCUAACCAAAAAUCACCUCUGAUAGUUAUGCUUAAGUCAUAUAAGCUAUAAUAAGAUUUUAAGAAAAUGAUUAAUGAUAGACUUGUUGGCCUAUUAAGAUUGAUCAUUGUAACUCUAUAAAUCUUAUUUAGAAAAGUAAUAUGACAAGGAUACUCUUUAUGAGCUAAAAGCAUAACAUUGUAUUUGAUGAUUUAGCGCAUACAAAUGUAUACGGACUAAUCAGUUUACAUGUUAUAAGAGGUUAUGAGUAUUCUAUCAAUCUAGUUGAUGAAUAUUCAUUUUAUGUUUGUCUAAAUGAGUCAUGAUUCCAUUGCUUUUGAAAUUCAAAAGAGUACGUGAAUAAGACAGAAGCAAUUAGACAGGAACAUAAAAGAAUUUCGAUAUGAUCGAAACAAAGAAUAUCUCUAUGGAGAAUUCAAGCACUAUUUGGUUGUCAAUGAACACUAUGAUACAAUAGUGUAAUUAAAUAGAGAAACAAGAUUCUUUUGGAUAAGACAAGAUAUAUACUAAGUGGUUUAUCAUUUACCUUUUUGAUUCCAGAUACUAGUAUUUGAAACUACAAAGUUUAUUGAACUUAGUUUCAUCUAUCUCGGUGUCCACUACUCCAAGAAAUUAUGAAAAAGUCACAAACAUGGUUUGAGACACAUUCGUAUUUGGAGUUUACUAGAAUCAGAGAUAGAGAAGAUGGAUUCGUGUUCAGAAGCUUGCAUGUUUUAGGUAUCUUAAAGGAAUAAGGGAAAGUCUGAAUUAUAGUCCUCAAGAUAGGAAUGUAUUUAUAGAAAUAUUUUUUACUUUCUUUGAGGAAGACUAUAUAAUGACUUAUAACCUAAGAGUAAGGUAAAACUAGAGAAAUAAAAGAGAUCAGGUUGAUGCUCAGCUUUCAACACCUGUUAUAGAACAGGAAGAACAGCAACAACCAGCUGAUCAGCACAGGAUUAUCCUUGAACAACCAUCACUUUUAGAACCUCGUCGUAGUGGGAGGGUAACUAGGUUACCUGCAAGAUACAUGUUUUUGGGAGAAACCUAUAAGGCUAUCUCAGAUGAACAUGUACAAGAUCCCACUAGUUACAACGAAGCUCUAAUAGAUAGAGAUGAUGAAUUUUGAAAAAGGCCAUGAAUCAAGAAAUGGAAUCUAUCUAUUCCAAUAAAGUCUGGGAACUUGUAGAGGCACCAAAUGGGGUAAAACCUAUAGGGUGCAAGUGGAUCUACAAGAGAAAAAGAGGAGUAGACGGAAGGGUGGAAACAUUUAAAGCAAGAUUAGUAGCCGAAGGGUUUACUCAGAAAGAAGGAAUCAAUUAUGAGGAAACCUUUUCUCCGGUUGCUAUGCUUAAAUCCAUCAGGAUUCUGCUCUCCAUUGCUGCAGUGCUAGAUUAUGAAAUUUGGCAAAUGGAUGUCAAGACUGCCUUUCUUAACAGGCAUCUUGAAGAAAACAUCUACAUACAGCAACCAGAUGGAUUUAUACAAAAAAGGCCAAGAACACAUGGUAUGUAAGUUGCAGAGAUCUAUUUAUGGAUUGAAGCAAGCAUCCCAGUCAUGGAACAUCAGAUUUGAUCAAGCGAUUAAAUCACUUGGAUUCAUUCAGAACAUUGAUGAACCAUGUGUGUACAAGAAAAUUCAGGGAAAAUUUGUAGCCUUCCUAGUUCUUUGUGUAGACAAUAUUCUCCUGAUUGGAAACGAUAUAGGAGUAUUGACUACAAUAAAGAUUUGGUUAGCAAAACAAUUUGAUAUGAAAGACCUGGGAGAGACAAGUUAUAUUCUUGGUAUCAAGUUACUAUGAGACCGGAAGAAUAAAACUUUAGCCUUGUCUCAAGCGGUCUAUAUCGAUAAGAUAUUGGCUAGAUUUAGUAUGGAAAAUUCCAAGACUGGUUUAUUACCAUUCAGACAUGGAAUUACAUUCUCUAAGGAUCAAUCACCUAAAACAUCUGAAGAGAUAGAGAGAAUGAGACGAGUUCCCUAUGCAGAAGCUGUGGGAAGUCUCAUGAAUGCCAUGCUUUGCACUAGGCCAGACAUCUGUUUUGCGGUAGGGAUGGUUAGUAGAUAUCAAUCUAAUCCUGGACCUGAACACUGGACUGCGGUCAAGCAUAUAAUGAAGUAUCUGAAAAGAACUUAAAAUUAUAUGCUUGUGUAUUCUGGUGAUGAACUUAUUCUAGUGGGUUAUACUAAUUCUGAUUUUUUGUCAGAUAAGGAUUUUAGAAAAUCAACUUCCGGCUAUGUGUUUACAUUGGGAAGUGGAGCUACUAGUUGGAUGAGUGUGAAACAAUCUUGUAUCACAGACUCAACAACUAAAGCUGAAUAUGUGGCUACAUCUGAAGCUGCAAAAGAAGCUAUAUGGCUCUGCAAGUUCCUACGAAAUCUUGAGGUGGUACCUGUUGUAACUGCACCCCUUAAACUAUUUUGUGAUAAUGGUGGUGCGGUAGCUCAAUUUAAGGAACCAAGGAACCACAAGAAACAAAACAUAUUGAAAGGAAGUAUCAUCUUAUAAGGGAAUAGUGUAGAAAGGUUAUAUGACAAUACCCCAAAUGGCAUUAGAUGCUAAAUGGCAGAUCUUAUUACAAUGGCCAUUAGUGGGAAACCUUUAUAACCUGCACUUAGAGCCCUAGAGCAUGUGCAAUAUGCCAGAUAUGCUUUGAGAGCUAGUGGGAGAUUGUUGGGAAAAUAUGCUCUUUAAAAGCAUAUGUGUUUAUUUAAUUGUAAUAAACAAUUUUUCUGAUUAAUAAAAUAAAUGAGGUAUUUUAUUCAAAUAUCUUAAUUGCAUUAAUAUUUGUAUUAAAGUCCAUUUAAUCAUAUUAUAUGUAUUUAUGUGAUCACCAUGUGGAUUCACAGAAGACAUAAAUACAAGUUAUCUUAUGAUUAAAUAAAUUUAGUUCGCAGUUGAUAAAUAAAGUUGGGCACUUUAUUUAGGUAUAGACUGUAAUAAAUUCAUUGAAUGAUUUGUCUUAAUCAUGUAUGAAUUUAUUGAUGUAGUACGACUACAUUGAACAGGAUCACAUAUGAGAUUUAAUUAACUUUGUAAUAACUGUCAGACUUAUUAAAUCUCAUAGGCGUUGAUUUUACUGUAAUCUUAAUCUUGAGUUAAUUAUGAUUUCAUGAUUGUGAUUGUUAUUUCAUUUGAGUUACCAAUGGGCACGACACAUCCUUGUGGUCAAGAUUACCCGGUAUCUUGGUGGGAGCAAUUAUGAGUAUUGGAGUUAUGGAUUAACAAUAUAGAAUUUGUACAACACAUCUCUUGAUAGGUUUUCGGUACUUGAUCAUAGAAUUCUCUGGCCAGAGUGUGUCAACAUAUUUAGUAUGUUGAAAAUGAUCAUUAGAGAAAACCAGUAAGGAUCAAGGAAUAAGAUGUUAUUAAAUUGAUUGGACAGUUGAGAUAUCAAUUUAAUUAACGAUGUGGUACAAAGGAUUGUGCAGUAAAGAAAUCAAUGUGGCUUGGGACGAAUUAUUAUUCGAGCAUACAAUUAUGGAAGUCAGUUCCAAUCUUUUAGUGGAGUAGAUUUGGAAUUAAAUAAUUGGGCUAGUUUAAUUACAGGCCUAAUUAUUGUAGCCACUAUUGUAUGUUCCCAAAUGAUUCCCGGGUUAGCUCAUUUAAUUGAUUGCACCACUGCUGGACUAAUAAGCAAGAUAACUAGCUAUUUGGGUCAAAAGCCUAAAUAUAUCAUUUAGUGGGAGGCUCCAUUUAAUAAGCUUAUGUGUAAGGGGCCUUAUGUUAUUUUACAUGGUGGGUCCCCUAUUAAAUGAAAAGUAACGUGAGUUUUAUUUUGGGGGAAUCCUUGGAGCCUAGGGUUUUCACUAAAGGGAGAUAUAUAAGGCUUAUUUUCCCAAAAAGGAAAAAGCAGAAGCCACUUUAUACAAAUCAGAGAAUAAGAUUUUUCUCUCCAUUGUUGAGAGAAAAAUUUUCUCGUGCUAGUUGCUUUGGUAGUGAUAAAGGCGCCCACACGUCAAGUGCAGAUCGAACCUGAGUCAUAACCUGGAAGAUCAUUGGAGACAGUUCGUGAUCUAACAAGCGUGGUGGUGACGGAUCGUGAUCUAACAGGAGUGGUGGUGGCGGAUCGUGAUCUAGGAGCCUAAAUCACUUCAGCGGAAAAAGCAAACUCAGAUUUACAAGGUACGAUUUCUAGAAUACGAAUUCUUAUAUAUUAUAUGAGAGCGAUCUUCAAAAGGUUUUAUAAAAAUUUAAAAACCUGAUUUUUCCCCAACAGAAAAUAAUUAAAUCAUUUAAAGAAUUGAAAGGAAAUGGAAAAAAGGAUAAAAAGAAUCUCACGCGCUCACUAAUUGAGCUCUUAACAAGUAGUAUGAAUUAGAAUGCAUACUCAGCUGUCAGUUGGAAAUUGAUUCAGACUUGCAUUAAUUUGUAAUCAAAGAAGAAAAUUUCAACAAGUGCUUCCCAUAUGGAUAUUGGAUCUAACGAGAAAUUCUUAUUUUUUUAGGUUGCGUUGCCUAACUUGGAGGCUUUGGAGAUAUCUGCAAUUAAUGUCGACAAGAUUUGGCACUACAAUCAUCUUCCAGUCAUGUUUCCUCAUUUAACACGAUUGAUUGUGCGGCGUUGUCACAAAUUAAAAUACAUAUUUUCAGCGUCUAUGAUCGGAAGCCUUAAGCAGCUCCAACACCUAGAUAUACG